AGAGUUUGAUCCUGGCUCAGAGCGAACGCUGGCGGCAGGCUUAACACAUGCAAGUCGAGCGCCCCGCAAGGGGAGCGGCAGACGGGAGAGUAACACGUGGGAACGUACCCUUCAGUUCGGAACAACCAAGGGAAACUUUGGCUAAUACCGGAUACGUCCGUAAGGAGAAAGAUUUAUCGCUGAAGGAUCGGCCCGCGUCUGAUUAGCUAGUUGGUGAGGUAACGGCUCACCAAGGCGACGAUCAGUAGCUGGUCUGAGAGGAUGAUCAGCCUCACUGGGACUGAGACACGGCCCAGACUCCUACGGGAGGCAGCAGUGGGGAAUAUUGGACAAUGGGCGCAAGCCUGAUCCAGCCAUGCCGCGUGGAUGAUGAAGGCCCUAGGGUUGUAAAGUCCUUUUAACGGGGAAGAUAAUGACGGUACCCGUAGAAUAAGCCCCGGCUAACUUCGUGCCAGCCGCCGCGGUAAUAC
rnacentral:rRNA from 1 species